AUACCAGCCACCCAGGACCUCUGUUAAGAUGCAGAUUCUGAUUCAGUGCAUCUGGGGUGGAGCAGAGACUCUGCAUUUUAACAGUUCUCAGGUGACACCCAU
rnacentral:miRNA from 1 species